rnacentral:rRNA from 1 species
GCUCAAAUUUGAAAUCUGGCUUUCGGGCCCGAGUUGUAAUUUGUAGAGGAUACUUUUGAUGCGGUGCCUUCCGAGUUCCCUGGAACGGGACGCCAUAGAGGGUGAGAGCCCCGUCUGGUUGGAUGCCAAAUCUCUGUAAAGUUCCUUCGACGAGUCGAGUAGUUUGGGAAUGCUGCUCUAAAUGGGAGGUAUAUGUCUUCUAAAGCUAAAUAUUGGCCAGAGACCGAUAGCGCACAAGUAGAGUGAUCGAAAGAUGAAAAGCACUUUGAAAAGAGAGUUAAAAAGUACGUGAAAUUGUUGAAAGGGAAGCGUUUAUGACCAGACUUGGACUUGGUUAAUCAUCUGGGGUUCUCCCCAGUGCACUUUUCCAGUUCAGGCCAGCAUCAGUUUUCGCCGGGGGAUAAAGGCUUCGGGAAUGUAGCUCUCUUCGGGGAGUGUUAUAGCCCGUUGUGUAAUACCCUGGUGGAGACUGAGGUUCGCGCUUCUGCAAGGAUGCUGGCGUAAUGGUCAUCAACGACCCGUCUUGAAACACGGACCAAGGAGUCGUCUUCGUAUGCGAGUGUUCGGGUGUCAAACCCCUACGCGUAAUGAAAGUGAACGCAGGUGAGAGCUUCGGCGCAUCAUCGACCGAUCCUGAUGUUCUCGGAUGGAUUUGAGUAAGAGCAUACGGGGCCGGACCCGAAAGAAGGUGAACUAUGCCUGUAUAGGGUGAAGCCAGAGGAAACUCUGGUGGAGGCUCGCAGCGGUUCUGACGUGCAAAUCGAUCGUCAAAUAUG